rnacentral:rRNA from 1 species
CCUACGGUGGGCAGCAGUGAGGAAUAUUGGUCAAUGGACGAGAGUCUGAACCAGCCAAGUAGCGUGAAGGAUGACUGCCCUAUGGGUUGUAAACUUCUUUUAUAAGGGAAUAAAACGAGGCACGUGUGGCUUUUUGCAUGUACUUUAUGAAUAAGGAUCGGCUAACUCCGUGCCAGCAGCCGCGGUAAUACGGAGGAUCCGAGCGUUAUCCGGAUUUAUUGGGUUUAAAGGGAGCGUAGGGGGGUAGUUAAGUCAGUUGUGAAAGUUUGCGGCUCAACCGUAAAAUUGCAGUUGAUACUGGCAGUCUUGAGUACAGUAGAGGUAGGCGGAAUUCGUGGUGUAGCGGUGAAAUGCUUAGAUAUCACGAAGAACCCCGAUUGCGAAGGCAGCUUACUGGACUGUAACUGACAUUGAUGCUCGAAAGUGUGGGUAUCAAACAGGAUUAGAUACCCUAGUAGUC